rfam:Volvox carteri f. nagariensis unplaced genomic scaffold VOLCAscaffold_52, whole genome shotgun sequence.
GUGCGAGCCCCAUGUGAGCUUUGGUGGGGGCGGACAUGCACUGCACGAGCAUGCUCGGAGCAUGUGCGAUGUCUGGGCGUGUGCUGGUAGCGAGGUAGUUUAGUUCGCCCACCAGCGCGCGGUAGCCACUGCCGUAAGCCAGUAUCGGCUGGGUGUCACUGGCUGGCAGAACCCGUGUGCCCUGGAGCAGCGGGGUGGCACGCGGCAUGGUGUUCUCCAGGCUGUGGCGCUGAAGCAGGUGCUCCACGUAAUGCUGCUGCGUAAGCAGGAUGCGGCGGUUGCGGCGGUCCUGGAUGAUCUCCAUGCUGAGGUAGUUGCGCGCCUCUCCAAGGUCUCGUACUGCGAAGCAACCAGCUAUGGCCGCCUUGGCGGCCGCGACCAAUUGCAGGUUGUCUGCCGCCACCAGCAUGUCGUCAACGUGCACGAUCAAAUAAAUUGAGCCGUCGGACCCGCGCUUGACGAAUAGCGCGGGGUCGGACAUGGACGGCUCAUAGCCUAGUUUGCCAAACUCCGCCGCCAGUUUCUCGUACCAGCAGCGUGGGGCUUGCUUGAGGCCGUAGACGGACUUUAACAGCCGGCACGCCUGCAUCGGGUCGCCGUUGCUGUAACCUGGUGGCUGUCGCAUCCACAGCUCCUCUGCCAGGUCGCCGUUCAAGAAAGCCGUUUUGACGUCCAUGUGAUGGACCGUCAUACCCCUGGCCGCUGCCACAGCUAGAAGUGCCCGCAGGGAGGCUGCACGCGUGGUGGGCGCAAACAGCUCUCCAUAGUCUAUGCCUGCGCACUGUUCGAAGCCCUUCACCACCAAGCGCGACUUAUAGCGUACCUCACUGCCAGGCUCCUGUUUGAUCUUGUAAACCCAGCGGCAGUCCAGGAUGCGUGCACCGGGCGGCGGCGUGCCCGACUCCCAUGUUUUGUUGGAGAGCUGCGACAGGAUCUCGUCAUCCAUCGAACUCUUCCACUUGUCAGCUUGCAGACUCGCCACCGCUUCCUCAUAAUUGCGCGGCUCCUGCACCGCGCUGUUGCCUCCGCCGUCCGCACUGCCGUCGGGCACGUUAAACUCAGCGAGAUCGGUGCUACCCGGCGCUUUGUUAAGCAGCGGUGGAUUACCCAAAUCUCCACCGCCGCCGCUGCUGUUGAUGGCCAGGCUGACCGGGGCCAGCGGCGGGUGCAGCGGUUGCCGUUGACUGCGAGUGUUGGGGCGGAGGGGGGGCGCUGGGUUCACUGGGGGCGGGGCAUCCACUUGAGUUGGCAGUGUGGCAAGCUGUGUUGAGCCGCCGACGGGGUCGCUGCUGCCAGGACGGGCGGGGCUGGUGCCGAAGGGGGUGCCCGCCCGUUGAGGUGCCGGGCCGCGGUGGUCGUCAUCGAAGGUGACGUCGCUGCUAACAGUCACCUUGCCGUCAACAAGGACGCGGUGGGCGGCCGUGUUGCGCUCCGGUCCAAGGUAGGUUCCCGCCUUCGUGCGGGGACCGAGCUUAUCCUGCUGGCUGGCUGGGAUGCGGACGUAGGCCAGGCAGCCAAAGGUGUGCAGGUGGCUGACGUCGGGGGUGACGCCAUGUUAAGCUGCCCACGGCGUGGCCUCCCGGCCCUGAGAGGGAGCCACAUUGCGCAGGAGGUUGGCGUAGCGCACAGCCUCCGGCCAAUAGCUGUCCGAGAGCGUGGCAUCGUACAGCAUAGCCCCCACACGGUCGAGGAGUGUGCAAUUGAGCUGCUCCGCUGCUCCGCUCUGCUCCGGGGUGUACGGCGCCGAAUGGGUGUGCGCAGUGCCGUGCUGGCGUAGCCACUGCUCCAGUUGCUCGGCGACAUACUCACCAGCGUUAUCACUAUGAAGUGUGCGUACCCGUGCAUGGUUCGGGUGGCGAGCCUCCAGCUGCGUCACCAUGUCCUGCAGCGCUUCGCCCACUUGGGUUUUGCUAACCAGCGUGCGAACAGAGGCGGACAGACCGGAGGCACCGUCCAGCGGUGUUAGCAAGUAACGUGCCCCACCUCGGCAUGGGCCCUGUAGUAGCUGGUACACAGUAUGGCUAUACAAAUACGCUCGGAGCGCGAAAUUCAGCAUGUCGAGAGGACUUUUCAGCGGCCAGCUACUACGUUAGAUAUCGAGAUCUCGUGAAAAACUCAAGUUUAUGAUGUCGUCAGUUCAACCCCUUCCACUUACGCUUCGAUGAAACGGCUUGUGCACCAGGGAAGGAGAAGGCUGGAAGUAUUCGGGGUCUAAGGCUGUACAUUAUUGCCCCAUUACCGAGGACAUUUUUGUAACUGGCCGCGUGAUAAACGACCUGGUAAAUACCCGGUAAUGGUGCCUGAUUACCGGGUAACUGGCCGAUUACCGACCCUCGCCUUGUAACUGACCGCGUGAUAAACGACCCGGUAAAUACCCCGGUAACGAUGCCCGGUUACCGGGUAACUGGCCGAUUACCGACCCUAGCCCGAUUACCGACCCAGUAACCUUAUAGCCUGGUAACCGAGGCCGGUUAUUAGUCGUUCCCAUUAUUGGGUCAAUAACAUGCGGUAGGGCUAAGAUGAGCUCAACGAGAACAGAAAUCUCGUGUAGAACAAAAGGGUAAAAGCUCAUUUGAUUUUAAUUUUCAGUACGAAUACAAACUGUGAAAGCAUGGCCUAUCGAUCCUUUAGCCUUUCGGGAUUUGAAGCUAGAGGUGUCAGAAAAGUUACCACAGGGAUAACUGGCUUGUGGCAGCCAAGCGUUCAUAGCGACGUUGCUUUUUGAUCCUUCGAUGUCGGCUCUUCCUAUCAUUGUGAAGCAGCAUUCACCAAGCGUUGGAUUGUUCACCCACUAAUAGGGAACGUGAGCUGGGUUUAGACCGUCGUGAGACAGGUUAGUUUUACCCUACUGUUGGACCGAUUCCGCCAUAGUAAUACGGCUCAGUACGAGAGGAACCGCCGUGUUUAAGAUAAUUGGUAAUGCCCUUGCCUCUCGCCAGGGCACGGCCAGGGCCAGGGUGCGGCUUACCAGUAU